UAUCUAAAAAUAUAAAAUUAUUUUAAUAUCUUCAAUAUUAUGCUUUAGAGUAUUUAAGCUAUUUAGAU
rnacentral:tRNA from 1 species